UUAGCUUCUGAACAGUUGGGCUUUUGCAGGGAUAUUAUGUCAUAACGUUUUUGAAAUGUGAAUUGGUCAAGGGGGAAAUCACAGUUUGGCCUUUUAGGUUUACAUGUUCCCUAUUUGCCCAGAAAAUUGUGGGUACCAUUAUAUAUACAAAUUUAACUAUCUUUCAUGGCUCUUUCCCCUUGAAUUAGCCAUUUUAAUAAUUUAUUGUAUCUAGCUGGAUUGGACAUGUAUUCUUUUUUUCCAAACUUUAUUGUGCCAUUUUGGUGCUAAGUUUUCCAAUAUUUAGGUAAAUAUGGGUUGAACCUUCCACAAGGGAUGACCAUCAUGUGUUUAGGUAAACUUCAUUGUGUCAUCAUGUGUUUUCUGGUUGAAGGUGUAGAAGGGAUGCCCUGAUUGAUUUUGCAGAUUAUCUUGAUAAUGUUCACUUAAUGCAAAUGCAAUGGCAGGCUACUGUAGGACCAUGUAACACACCAGAGUCGAAUGCUUGGAAUGCAGUAGAGAAAAGCAAAUGGAGCAGAAUUUCAUUCAAACUGUGUGUACUCAUGGCUAACAAAAUGGGGGACAUGCUGCCCCGUGUGCAAGCAUGAUAUGAGAACAAAAUCUGUGAAUCGUGAGGGCAUUCCUCCUCAACCUAGCAACAAGGAGUGCGGGUACUUUAUCAUGUGCUACAUGAGAAAUAUCAUUGAGGAUAAAGACAUGUCAUUGUUUCCUUCCAAGUGGGAGAGGAGAGGCAGCAGCUAAUACACCCAAGCGGAUAUUGAUAAAGUGCGAAAUGAAUGGGGGAAGUUUGUUGUCAACACAUAUGUGCAUGAGCCAUGAAGUAGCGCGCUUGUUGCUGGUCCAUUUUUGCUAAGGAAAGCAUCUUUUUUUGUGCUUCGCUGUUGGCCCAUAGUCAUGCACCAUGUGUGGCAUGUUUUGAAAAAAUAGAUACAUAUGUAUCAACUUUUUGAUGUCCCAAGUAGAUGGGCAU